GACGAACGCUGGCGGCGCGCUUAACACAUGCAAGUCGAGCGAGAACCAGCCCUUCGGGGCUGGGGACAGCGGCGAACGGGUGAGUAACACGUGGGUAAUCUGCCCUCGGCACCGGGAUAGCCCGGGGAAACCCGGGAUUAAUACCGGAUGGCCUUUCGAGCCCUCGGGCUUGAGAGAAAAGGUAGCUUUGGCCUCUGGCCGAGGAUGAGCCCGCGGCCGAUUAGCUUGUUGGUGAGGUAAUGGCCCACCAAGGCGACGAUCGGUAGCUGGUCUGAGAGGACGAUCAGCCACACUGGGACUGAGACACGGCCCAGACUCCUACGGGAGGCAGCAGUGGGGAA
rnacentral:rRNA from 1 species